GGCCAAGCGCAGUGGCAGUAUCGUAGCCGAUGAGGCUUAUCCGAGGCUCGAUUACUGCUAGUUGAAAACUUUACUUAUGAAAUGUUUUCUGUCCGGUAAAAAAAAGAAAAUAUCCUGGGUUAUCACUUUUAGACUAGAUA
rnacentral:snRNA from 1 species